CUGGAUGAAGUUGAGAAGGCAGUUUUUUUAAGGCGAAGGUGUAAGCUCUUGGCAGUGGUGGAUGCAGAGUGGUCGGGACAAGAAUGCUGAGCAGACCCUUAGUCCAACACCUUGGGGCCUGUGUUCACUUAGUGAGUGGAAGGAGAAGGAGGAGCCAAAGACAGAGACAGAAUAUCCGCUCCCUGGAGGCAGGCCCCAGCCCUGGACUGUUCACUUUUGAAUCCCCAGAGCCCAGCACCGCACCUGCCACUUUGAAGUGUGUCCUGUGAUGGAGAAACCUUAGCUAUACCUCAUCGUUUUCCUUGGAGAGCCUUGGUUUUCUUCUGAUCUUCGGGCUGCUCAUCUUGGACACUUGGUCCCGUGCAGAUCCCCACACCAGGUUGUGCCCUGCACCACUUGGCACCUGGCCUGAAACCCAGGGCUUCCUGAAUACCCUGAACACCAAACCCAAGAGCUCCAGGGGAGCCGCCACCGCCAGAGCCAGCAAGACCUCCUCCAGGCCACCCACCCCCAGCCGAGAAGCAGGCUCAGCUUCAGGGGGUGAGCACCUGGCGCCAGCAAAACCGGGGCCCUUGGAAUCAUAGCAGCACCAUCACCGCGGUGGGCCAGAGGCAGGGGAGAAUAUCCAAGGCACCAAAUUCAACGUCCUUCCUUAAAUUUCCAUUCUGUUUCACUCAACCGGGGUACAUAUUGUUAAAGCAAAAGAGGAUGAGAAGGAAACAUGGGUACAGCUAAAAUUAUGCACGCUUUUGUUUUAAGUAAAUGCCUUCCUCCGGAACAGUGGUAUUUGCCAUCAUCUCUCCCCCCACCCCCAUCCCCGCCCCCUGUCCCGCUUGCUUUUCUCCUUAGUCUAAUGUCUUUGCUCUUCACACUUCCUAAGUCUCCAGAAUUCCUGUUACUUGGACGUGAGCCGGGAAACUCCCCCAAAGGGUGCGGUUUGCCUCUGCAGCUGACUCACGUCCCUCCUGCUGCUACCUCGUCUUUUCGAUGCCAUUUUCUCCUUGCCAUGAAUGCGGCUCUGUCUGUGAGCUGCUUCUCUUCAAGCUGGAUCCCGGGUCUUAUUUUUGCAGUGACCCCAGAUUAUUAGGCUAACUCUAAAUAUCUUGGUGGUGAAUCGGCUGUGAAUGCUAUCAAUUUAAUAUCAAACAACAGCUUAAUCAAA